CCCUCCAUCACAAUUCAAAGUUCCAAGCCAAAUUCAGAUGCACCCGAAUCCUUAAAAGCCCUUCUUCCCCAGAAAUCUGUCUGCUCUGAGGUGAAAGCAGAUGACAGGAAAUGCCAGAGGCGAAGCAGUGAGACAGAGUUUCUCUGUUGACGGUUCUUGGGCAAUUUUCCUUUUAUCCUUCCUUAUCGAGCUUCUUAAAAAAAGCUGACUAGUUCAUUCUCAAGUUUCUCCAUUUAGCUGAGCCUUACCUUCUUCUGGAGGAUGGCAUUGGCCUAAUCUGGAUCAUGCAUAGCAUUUCCAUGUGGUGAAUACGAAAAGAAAGAAGAUUAGCACACCAAAGACCGUAUCAUAUUUCCACUCCAAUCUUGGUAAGUAUCAUUACAUCAGAAACCGAAUACAAAGGGCAAAAAGAUUGUCCUAUAUGAUAUGCACACCAGGAAUGUUGGGGCCAAAAAAAAUAUCAGACAGGAGUCCCUGUGGACGGGUGGUUCCUUCUUUCUUUUUUUUCUUUUUUUCCUUUUUCUUGGUUCUCUAUUUUCAAAUUAUGAUCAUCUAUUGUAGGUAGGCUAUGGGCGAUUUGCCGCUGCAUAAUUACACUCUGGCUAUAAGGAUUUAUGUAGCAGGUCUGUACAAACCAAAAAUCAACAGAAGAAACUGAAUAGAAGUUGUUUCACCUUGAAACAACCUUUGGCGGAGGGAAACGAGAAAUCACUAAGGGAACCACACACUUCUAAAAGCACACUUGGUCACUGGUAGUGACUUCUGACAAGCUCUCAAACUGUCAGGAUUGCAGAAUGUGCCAUAACAUUCUGGAACCCAAUCAGGGGACCCUUCAAAAUGCAGACUCAAUAUGCCUUUUUUUGUAAAAAUUUAGGCCUGAGUGGCUGCAUUGGGAAAAAAAUGGAUCUUGAACAGGACUAGAAAACUUACUAUCGGCAGGAUCAGCCAAAGAAAACAAAAAGGUGUCUGGGGUGUGUUUGGGGCUCUGGUUACUGAAGUUGAAUUAACAUGGUUGGUCACAGACUCUGGAGGAGAGCUCUUUUGCAGGGCGGCUGAUAAGCCGAAUUAGUUGGAGGAGAUGUAGAAAGAGAAUCCAUGCCAAAUGUUUUCAGAAGGAAGUGUCUCUCCUGAAAAAGGAAACCCAAAUAAGCAUUUAGUCUCACACCAUGCUAGAGAUCCUAGCUAAUAGGCUAUGCAAACAAAUUCAUUAUGGAAAAUUGAAGUUGGAAUGUAACAGGACCAUAUCAACUCUAAAAUUCACCUGUAGAAAGCAUGAUACAUGGCAAGCAAUAAACACUUUUUUUUUUUUUUUUUGGUAAGGAGCAAUAAACACAUUUUUGUCUUUUCUUUUUCCUAUCUUUUCUAUCAUUUACUUUUUGUCUGGGGAAGGGAGGGGGAGAGUGAGUCAUGCCACAUGCUAAAGCUUAGGCUUGACCAUCCAUCUCUUGCAGAUACAGAGACAGUACGGGGAAUGGAUUUAGGGAAAAAUGUCCUAUCUGUUUCUAUUCCAGUUUUCAUAAUUGUGGAUUCGCACUUAGAGCAUGGUCUAGGAACAAUUCGGGAUCUAUUCGACCUUUCUGAGCUCCUUAUGAACGCUCCUUGACAUUUGGACAGCAGGCAUCAACUAAGACCAAGGGUUGGUCCAAUUGGUGGAGAAUAUCCUUCUUCAGGCUGAAAACAAGUGCUCCUGCUUUUUUGCAAAUAUUAUAAGGCAUCAACUAUUCAAUACCUAUUUAAAUUUAUGUAGAAAUUAAGAGCAGUUUUGUCCUUAUGGUAAUCUAGUCCAGUUCAUUACGUAGAAAACAGUGCUUGUUUCUGCUUUUUCUGCAUAUCACAUUCGCUUAUGAAAUAGUAAGAAAAUUUUGGUCCUCUAAUGUAUAUUAUGUAGAUAUUCUAUUCAAGGAAACUCAAAGUCCAGUACCCUAUGGAACAAAGAGGCACUUUCAACAAUGUGAUCUUAAAAAUCAUUGUAGGAACUGUGAUAUCUCAGUUCUGCUAGCAUUAACGUGGGUUAGAGUGUUUCUAAGCAGACAUGAGUUCUAUUCUCGGGAUGGAUGACCCCCUCUGCUCUCUCUCUCUCACACAAUCAAAAUAUAACUCCCAUUCAAAGUGAUAAGGUCAGAAAAUCUCCUUUCUUAAUGAGAUACACAAUUCCCUUGGGCUCUCUCUCUCUCCUUCUCUCUCAAUCAAAAUAUAACUCCCAUUCAAAGUGAUAAGGUCAGAAAAUCUCCUUUCUUAAUGAGAUACAAAAUCCCCUCGAGCUCUGUUCAUUUCUUAUCUUCUCUAACAUGUCAAGAAAUGACGUGCUGUUCUAGCCCUUUGAUUUUAGUACCACAUUUUCGACUUACACUCUUUUGGAACCAGAUGCACUAGACGAAUAUGGAUAAAAUUUCCUUUACUGCACAUAUUCUUUAUACAUGAGUGUCAAUAGGCUUGAAUGAACACGUGGAUCUUAGAUCCUGUGAAAUUGAAGCUAUUGAAAUUCAUGGAAUUAUUCCAGAACUGAGAUUUCCCUUUCAGCCGGCCAAAGUGUCAGUCCACCUCCUUUCAUGGUUAUCAAAGUUGCAGUGCAUUCAGUGAACUUCCUAAGAUGCAGAAAUCUUAUCGCGGAUUUAAACCGGCAAAAGUACAUUGAAAGGGAACUUACACUUUCUGAAAAUUUUGGUGUGGGAAUUCCUGCUGCUAAGGAUCUGAAAAGUGGAGUUACAUGAACAGGAGAACUGCAUUCCGUAUUUGAUGAGACAGAAACUACUCCAGUGGCGGUUACAUGCUCGUCACAAGAUUGAAAAGUACCUGAUACGGAAAGAUCAAUAGUCUUGUCAGUUAAAUCUAAUACAAAAUAAUAAAACACACACACAAAAAGAUCCAGGUUUUUGCAGAGCAAACAACCUCCAUGGGUGACUGAGCUGGAAAGAAUCCCUUUACAGCAGUUAUGGACUACACCUUGUUCAUCAGAAUGGUUAGUUUGUAGUUCAGUUUCAAUAACUUUGUGCAAUGCAACUUCUUCGGCUUGAGGCUCUUCCGCUUUAUCAUAGACAGGAUGAGUCGAAAUAGUAGAAGCUGUGCUAUACUCUGAGCUGGCUGGAGAUUCCUCACACAGAUCAGGUGGCCUGCGAUAUAAGUACUAUCAGGCAGUGUUUGGAGCAGAAAGAAAAGUCAAGUGUUCCACGGUUCUAUACUUUCGAUAAUCCGUAUCUACUUGAUUACCUCCAAGAUGUUUGGCUUCCCUCAUUGCUGCUCCUGAGGUCUUCCACCAUAACUUUGAAAUCUUCAAACUGGAGAUCAGUGUCGGUGAUGCAAUCUUGGAGAAUAUCAUCAUCCUUCUUGUGGCUCAAAAAUUCCUGGAGAACCUGAGGUCCAUAACUCCAGAAAAUCAAUGAUAAACGCAGAAGAACGACAGUAUUUUUCUCAACUACAUGGAGGAAUUUCAGUAACCAAGUAUGAUCAAGCAGGCGUCCUGCAUUUACCAGCAUCACUUUUAUGGCAACUGAUCUAACCUUAAAAGGAUCAGAAGGUGGGUCAUUCAAUUGAAAAAGAUGUUCUUUUGGGGAAGAGUUCAAUCUACUGAAUCGCUGAACUUCAUCCAUCAGGCUUACUCAAGCCAUUUAACUAAUUGCCGUCAGUGAUCUCGUUAAAAACACCAAAGCGAACGUAAUGUGCUCACCUUCCAAGCAUUUUCAAGACUCUGGUCCAUGUUAUCUGCAUUGACUUUCACCGCAAGGGAACUGAGCAGCUCGGCUUGUUGAAUCAGAGCAGUAACUUUUGGAUCAUCCUUUUUAAGAAAUGUUCCUUGGACGUUGGUGCCAUGAGCUGCUCAAAGAUCAGAGAGGAAUGUGACCGUGACCUUAGCAUUUGAGGUUUAACAAACGAUUGCAAGGCACAACUUAUGACCGAAGUUAGCGUAAAAACAGUCUCGUUUGACUGAAUUAAAGAUGAUGGUCUUUUCUGAGAAUCAUGUAUUGGUUUCGCAUGUUAUGUCUUUUUAUCUCGUUUGACUGUAUUGAUGCCCUUUUCAAAGUAUCGAGCACUAAAAUCACUUGUUA